rnacentral:rRNA from 1 species
AGGACGAACGCUGGCGGCGUGCCUAACACAUGCAAGUCGAGCGGGGAUACGGAAGAGUUACUGGAGUAAUCUAGCGGCGGACGGGUGAGUAACGCGUGAGCAACCUGUCCCUUACAGGGGGAUAACACAGCGAAAGUUGUACUAAUACCGCAUAAGACCACAGAGUCACAUGGCUUAGGGGUCAAAGGAGCAAUCCGGUAAGGGGUGGGCUCGCGUCCGAUUAGAUAGUUGGUGAGGUAACGGCCCACCAAGUCGACGAUCGGUAGCCGACCUGAGAGGGUGAUCGGCCACAUUGGGACUGAGACACGGCCCAAACUCCUACGGGAGGCAGCAGUGGGGAAUAUUGGGCAAUGGGGGGAAAAACCCCCUGACCCAGCAACGCCGCGUGAGGGAAGAAGGUUUUCGGAUCGUAAACCUCUGUCCUUGGUGAAGAGGAAGAGACGGUAGCCAAGGAGGAAGCCCCGGCUAACUACGUGCCAGCCGCAGC